CUUCUAUGGUGUUAUAUGAUUUCAGACAGAUUUGUGCUGCCAUCUUUGUGCCAUAUUGCACACCAGACAUCAGAAUAAAACCUGCAGUGAUGAUGCUCUGGAAUCUAAUUGGUUUUUAGGAACAGAAGCCAUGAUGUUUGGGCCAGCCAAUAUCUAAAAUGGAAAUCAGGAAGCAGUUCUGUCUGAUACUGCAAAAACAGAUCUGCAAGUGUGAAAUCAGUAGGCUGUAAGGACUGUCAAGUAUAUCCACUGACUCCAAGGUCUGUAUCGCACCUGGAGGCCCUUCCGUGUGCACAGAUGGCACAGACUGCCCGGGUCCCUGCAGAGCCGGGCACCUCUCCCCACUGACAGCAUCCCCACGGCUCAGCAUCCUGGUGAAAAUCCCAAAUAUGUUUGAAAAUGGAAUUACCAAAACGUGGUGUUCUACGUCAAGCAUAAACAGGAGAAAAAGCUCCAAGCUCUGCUCCUGUAUGGUAACAAAACCGUUCCUUUCUGAACAACUGCUGGAAAUUUCCCCUUCUUUUUUUUUUUUUUUUUUUUUUUUUUUUUUUGUUGUCACAGAAUUGAUAGGGUUGGAACGGACCUCUGGAGAUCAUCUAGUCCAACCCCUGCCAAGGUAGGGUCACCGAGACCAGGUUACACAGCAACGCGUCCAGGUGGGUUUUGAAUAUCUACAGAGAGGGAGUCAAUGGGGAAA